AUUGAACGCUGGCGGCAGGCUUAACACAUGCAAGUCGAGCGGAGAUGAGGUGCUUGCACCUUAUCUUAGCGGCGGACGGGUGAGUAAUGCUUAGGAAUCUGCCUAUUAGUGGGGGACAACAUUCCGAAAGGGAUGCUAAUACCGCAUACGUCCUACGGGAGAAAGCAGGGGAUCUUCGGACCUUGCGCUAAUAGAUGAGCCUAAGUCGGAUUAGCUAGUUGGUGGGGUAACGGCCUACCAAGGGGACGAUCUGUAGCGGGUCUGAGAGGAUGAUCCGCCACACUGGGACUGAGACACGGCCCAGACUCCUACGGGAGGCAGCAGUGGGGAAUAUUGGACAAUGGGGGGAACCCUGAUCCAGCCAUGCCGCGUGUGUGAAGAAGGCCUUAUGGUUGUAAAGCACUUUAAGCGAGGAGGAGGCUACUGAGACUAAUACUCUUGGAUAGUGGACGUUACUCGCAGAAUAAGCACCGGCUAACUCUGUGCCAGCCGCCGCCGUAACAC
rnacentral:rRNA from 1 species